rnacentral:lncRNA from 1 species
UAAUAAUAAUAUGAUAAACCAACUUCUUUUUGCACUGCAGGAUGCGUGUACCCAGAGCAAACCCGCUCGCCUCUGCUGCCAGCCGAAAAUUAAAUCACUGCCGAAAGAAAAAUCCUGAAAGGAUCCCUGACUGCUCCCGCAGACAGAGCAUCCCGCAGCUCCCUGCACCAAACCUGCGGCCAGCCCUGUCCUACACCGAGCCGGCGAGGCCCAGGUCGUCCUGUUUGCUCCGACACGUGCUCCUGCGUGGAGCAGAUGCCGGGCUCGGCGCGACUAUGCAUGGCCAGACCGAAGUGGCACCAGGCCCAGCACGGACGAUCUGAAACGCAGGGCAAAGCCCCGCGCUGGAGCGUGGUCCAAAGUCAGAGCAGCCAUGCGGAGCCCAGCUCCGGUCGACAUCUCCAUUUACACUGAGGAAGCACCUGCCUCAGAUUCUUUCUACCUGGUGAAAUACGAGCGUUUCCAGAUGCGGCAUCAGCCUCGUCAGCAACACGCUGCAAGAAGGUGCACGCCGCUGAGCCCAAGCCCUUUGCAUUAACCCAUCGGCACAAAGGAUUUUCACAGGCAAUUGUUCUGGUUACAUGUUCAGACAUUGCUUUAUCACAGUUUUAAGUAUAUGGUUUUGGAUCCAAGAAAUAAAAAACCAGGAAUCAC